AUUUGAAUUUUGUCACUUUGAACCUGCUAUUAUUUAAUUAUUUAAUGGAUGAUGGAUUUGGAUCAUUUUGUUAUAUUUUUAUUUGAGAUGGAUUUGUAUACCGAUUAUGAUUAUUGGCUUUAUGUUGUGGUAAGCGGUACCUUUUGAUAGCAUGGCCAUGUUAUGUCCCGGAUUUGGGGCAUGACAGUACUCCUCAGCUUCUUAUUUUCUUUUAUGAAAGAAAAAGCAGGGGAAGGGGAGGACUCACACCCAAUGUUAGAUUCCCUCACCUCUCCCUUUUCUUGUAAUCUCUAUGUGGAGCAAGGAGUGCUCUACUCUGCUGUUGGUCUGUUAUCUCUCCCUUAUCUUUCUUUCUUUCCUCUUUCAAAUAUCAAGAGCCCAUGUUUGCUUACUUGUUCCUCCCGUGCAAGCUUCAUCACUCACUCCUCAUUUUCCCUCUCUUCGCCCAUUUCUUUUCCUUACACUCUAUUCCAAUUGCCUAAGUCCUCUUUCUUCUUCUUCUUCCUAUCUAUGGUGUUCUUUUCAUCUUGUCCAGACAUAUCGCGGCAUUCGCUAACGGAUGCGGUAGUAAAGAGUGGUCACAAACCAAAAGAUGAGGGUUGGUAUGCAUGGGUAUACCACUAGUGUUGGAUCAGCCAAAAAAUGAUUGAAGGAAGGGUAGAGAGCAGCAUGAAUCCAGAUGCCAUGGCCUUCUGAUCCGAUCAGGAAGCAGAAAGAAUUUUUUCAACUCGCUGAACUCGAAUUUCUCAAAAAAAUUUGAGAUAAGAUGGCAAAAUUUUAAAGGAGCAUGAUGCCUAGAGCUGCUGUGACCUAUGGACAUGAUGGGCGUCCAAAUCUGAUCAGCUGUUCCAAACGCUCGAUUAAGUGGCCCAACAUCCUAUAUAUGGAGGUCUAUCAAGACCCGAAAAUGAGGUCAUCCUUGGCGAAGGGCCCCUUCAGUUAGCAUACAUGCAUUCAGUGGCUUGUGAAGGUAGUUCAUGGGAGAUUUGACUCCAUGGCAGCAUGGCUUCCUCUUAAUGCUAUUGCUAAGAUGUACCCCACAUAUUAAAAAUUCUCAGAUGAGUAAUAGUUGCUGUGACCAGUUAAUGUAUUACAAAGUAGGGUCAAUAAUCUCUUGUCAUUAACACAAACUUCUAUUUAUUAUCUUCAAAGGAUACGCAAAACUAUUAUUAGCUUGUAAAAGUUUCUCAAUCUAAUUUUGACAUUACAGAGCA